AGUGAGACUACAUUCCUUUGGCUGGAUACACCUUAAAUAGCCACCGCUUAUCUCAUUGUUUCAACAACUUAGAUCUCUCGGUGUGGCACCGGUAAGUUUAC